rnacentral:rRNA from 1 species
GACGAACGCUGGCGGCGUGCUUAACACAUGCAAGUCGAACGGAAAGGCCCUGCUUUUGUGGGGUGCUCGAGUGGCGAACGGGUGAGUAACACGUGAGUAACCUGCCCUUGACUUUGGGAUAACUUCAGGAAACUGGGGCUAAUACCGGAUAGGAGCUCCUGCUGCAUGGUGGGGGUUGGAAAGUUUCGGCGGUUGGGGAUGGACUCGCGGCUUAUCAGCUUGUUGGUGGGGUAGUGGCUUACCAAGGCUUUGACGGGUAGCCGGCCUGAGAGGGUGACCGGCCACAUUGGGACUGAGAUACGGCCCAGACUCCUACGGGAGGCAGCAGUGGGGAAUAUUGCACAAUGGGCGGAAGCCUGAUGCAGAAACGCCGCGUGCGGGAUGACGGCCUUCGGGUUGUAAACCGCUUUCGCCUGUUACGAAGCGUGAGUGACGGUAAUGGGUAAAGAAGCACCGGCUAACUACGUG